CCCUCGAUCUUUUUUUUAAAAUUUGACCGCUAAGGCCUAGGUUUUGUUUUGGAAUAUAGGCCUAGCUAUAAUUUUCAGAAAAUUGUAAAGUCAACUUUACUUUGAAAAACUAUCCUUCCAUACUACAUAAACUGAAAGUUUCAUCUGCUGCAAAAUAAAGAAAUCUUGGGCAUUACUUUAACUUACCAUGUUGUGAUGAUCACAAGAACUUUACGUACACCCGGCCCAAAACGUCUGGACAUGCCGUUCUUGCAGGAUGUCACCUUCCUUAUAUAUUCCGUGAUUCUGGACUCCGGUCCUCAUUCCACUCAACCACGGAAUAUUUAGCAAUUUAUGCAAAAUAACCUCCGAAAUAUUGCGACAGUCUAAUCACUUUGAAAAUGGCAGCGUCACACAUUCAACCAAUCAAAUUUGAGAGCUACAGAUUUUGGAACUUCGACCAAUCGCGUGAAAGUACGAAGACGGCCGAAAAUUCUAGUCUUGUAUUUAUCUUUCGUAAAUAUGCUGUUAUUAUCUCGUUUGUUUAAAUUUUCUGCUAUUAGAAACUAAUUCAUAAUUCAUAGCUGUUUUUUUUAAAACAAAUACUAAGAUUGUAAUAAUUUAAAAUUGAUUACGGAGUCACCCGAACUCUAUCUACAGUCACUUCCGCUUCCAUAUUUUGAAAUCGUCGAUCUGUGAACAUUGUGAGGAAAGGAAAGCAAAACAAUGGGAGAAACACGUGGAGAGUAUACAAUCUAUUUUGUGGACAACUUGUUAAAGGCUCCUAGAGUAUUCUUAUGGGGUAUGCGACGUGUAUAACACUGGAAGAAGCAGUCCUACCAAACUUGAAAAGCCACGAGGUCGAGUGGUAAUGGCGCGCCCGUGCCGAUGAACUUGCACGUUGUUUUCACAAUCGGUAUGCAUUUUUCUUAUUCGUUUUCUUUAAUAUUAUUAUUUGAUAAAUCCUAUAAUUGCGUAUUUGAGAAAUAGAUAUUUAUUUUUCAAAGUGACUUGUGGUAAAAUCGCACCUGAUAGUUGCCCGAUGAUGAUCAAUGUGAAAUAAUAUAUCGUUGUUUAAGUUCAUAAAUUUUAGUUGUUUUUGUUUUCAUGUGACCAAUUCUAUCAUAGGUUUUCCCAAAUGCCGACUAUUCCUUGUCAGAUAAUCCUAAAAAUCCGGGAGAUAUAGCAUAGCCUAUCUAACUUUGAAGUUUGAGGAAGCAGACUGACUUUGAAGACGACAAUGAUGUUGAUUGAAUAAUACCAGGAUGCAGCAUUGCAGAAAGUAAUGACGGUAUCUGACAUGUCUUAUGCCAAUCAAUUCCUCCAGAAGAUGACACAAACUUUAAAUUAUGGAAGUUGCGAGCAAGAAUUUUUCAAGGGAAUGUCAGAUGGAGAAGAAACAUCAGUCAACAAGACAGUGUAAAAUGAUAAAGUAUCUGUAAUAGGUGCUUACCAUAUUCUGCCUAUUGUGGAUUCAGUGAUGGUUUUUCAAACGAACUAUGCUCAUCAACCAAAUGUCCUUAAAAUUUGUGGAGUGCAGAGCCACUUUCAGGCGAGACAGUAGUGUGGUUCAUUUUAGUGGACAUGAUUUUAGACGAGAUGUGCUUUGUGAAACUUGAAACAUUGUUCAUUCAUCAUAGUGUAAUGAGAACUGUUGUCCAUCAUUCUAUGCUUUAGUGAAGUAAUGGAGAUAAUGUGAAGUACAUGUGUAAAUGCUCAUAUUCUGCACAACAUAUUUUUCAGUGACAUUAUUUCUUUGAGACCAAGCUCUGGACAGUUGAUAGCCAUUUAUGUGUAGGACUUUAUUUAUUUUUCUGUGUGUGCAAUAGCAACUGCCACUUGCAGUAAACCCAAACAAAGUGGAGAAAUAAUUUGUUGAGUUCAGAGAUUACAAUUUUUAUUGUGUUAUUUUGAUGAGAAGAUAGUAUUAAUAAGGUACAAUGGUACAUUGUAUCUUAUUGAAAAGCUUAUUUAAGAGUUAUCAGUAGAAUUAGACUGCAUGACAAUUAUUAGAAUGGGAAACCUAGAUGAAGUCAAAAGAAACUAUACUGUAUUUUACAGACUGUCCUGGAAAUAUCAUGCAAUAAAUAAUGUCUCCAGUGUUA